rnacentral:tRNA from 1 species
GCCGGGGUCGCCUAGCCAGGUUAAGCCCACCAGCAUCUAAGGGCGGCGGGUUGCUAACCCGCUGGCCGUAAGGCCACCCGGGUUCGAAUCCCGGCCCCGGCG